GGUUUAACCCCAGUUGCCAUGGUAAUCAAACCGAUUCCAGGUUUCAGAUCUUCAUUGUAAUUCAGAUUACAUUUUUCUCAGCUUCACCUUUCGGCACGAUAUUCUCCGGAAGACUACAUUAUAAUUUCGCUGCAAGCUAAUAAAGAGUCUGGAGCCGUUACAUUACUAGGCAUUUGUACCUUACGGAGUAGGCGAGGCCAGAAUGCAAACGGACAGUUAUUAUUAUCACGGAGGGCUUUUUGGCGUCUCUCUAACAGCUGUGGAGCGGUUCGCGAUUACAGUUCUGAAUUGUGAAGUUUAUACCUAUUAACCUCUGGGCAGGGACCGUUAAAAAGCGGUUCACCGGGUAGCGAAUCGACCGCUGGAUCAGUGGUUACUUGGGUCUGAAAGGCAGAGGUGAAGUCUACCACACCCCAGGUGGAUGAGAAAAUAUCCAAGGGUUAUGAAAGAGAUAAUGGAAGGUGAAAACUGAAUAUUUAUUUUGAGCUCUCACCGGAGAUGAGGGAUUCACCGCCGGCCCGUGAGUUUUAAUCUGGUUGGGAUUCACCAAGUUUUCUUCGAGACACUCAGCAUGUCAGAGCUGCUGGAUCAUCCCCGCUCGAUGAAGCGUCAAGUCUCCUCGUUACAAGAAAACACUGACGUAAUUCCCACUGGAAGGGAGUGCGUCCUUUCGUGCAGAACUUUGGAAAGAAUAGAUUGUGACAUUUGGCAGUUGGUAGUUGAACUGUGUUUAUAAAUUGUUUCUGUUUUCCAA